CACCCUGAUGGGCACAGCCAUUGGCACCUGCUUCGGCUACUGGCUGGGAGUCUCAUCCUUCAUUUACUUCCUUGCCUACCUGUGCAACGCCCAGAUCACCAUGCUGCAGAUGUUGGCACUGCUGGUAAGGAGCCAGGUGUGGUGGGCAAGAGUGAUGUUAAAAAGAGUAGCCAGGCCUUGGUCGGCAUCUGUCCUGGGGCCCCAAAGCCUGGAAUGGGAGGAAUAGGCCAAUGGACCAUGUGUUUCCCAGGGUCCACAUGAGGGGCCAGAAACCAGACCAACCUGAGUGAUUUUCCUCUCCACCAUCCUCCUUCCCAGGGCUAUGGCCUCUUUGGGCACUGCAUUGUCCUGUUCAUCACCUAUAAUAUCCACCUCCACGCCCUCUUCUACCUCUUCUGGCUGUUGGUGGGUGGACUGUCCACACUGCGCAUGGUAGCAGUGUUGGUGUCUCGGACCGUGGGCCCCACACAGCGGCUGCUCCUCUGUGGCACCCUGGCUGCCCUACACAUGCUCUUCCUGCUCUAUCUGCAUUUUGCCUACCACAAAGUGGUAGAGGGGAUCCUGGACACACUGGAGGGCCCCAACAUCCCGCCCAUCCAGAGGGUCCCCAGAGACAUCCCUGCCGUGCUCCCUGCUGCUCGGCUUCCCACCA
rnacentral:sRNA from 1 species